rnacentral:lncRNA from 1 species
AUGGAAAUUGGGAACCGUCUGUUGUUGUUGUUCAUUAUGAUGUCCAAAUCUUCAUCCCCCAGGCAUAUAUCCUACCUCUCUUUGAACGUCCAAUCUGCCCCAGUUUGGGCGCCCGCUGAACAUUCCUCUGUUGAGUCGGAUGGCGGUGAGGUGCAUUCUGAUCUGCACGGCCAUUCAGGUGGUUGGACAGGACCAUGGUACUCGGUUGUAGAGAGCCUAUCGGCGGCAGAAGAUCGGGCAUCCCCGGAAUGCCGUACAUUUCCGCUGCAAGAACUGCAACUUAAGAUAAAGCUGGCCCAUAACCUGCCCUUUGAGGAGAGAGGUGCCAGAACAUCACAUCGCGUUUUGGCACAAGUCAUGCCAGUUUGGCUGCUUUCGUUUGGACUUUUGUGUAGUUCUUUUGUUGUUGGGAGCCAAACCCAAUCCCCUCUUCCUGAUAUCCGUGAUCUACCCCUUCUUUGUUACCCUGUAAUGAACUGUUCACCUGUCAUCCCCUCCGACUCUCUUUUUACAUCCUCCAAUUAG